rnacentral:piRNA from 1 species
UAUGAUAUCACGAUGUAUUUU